rnacentral:rRNA from 1 species
UACAGAGGUCUCAAGCGUUGUUCGGAUUCAUUGGGCGUAAAGGGUGCGUAGGCGGCGCGGUAAGUCGGGUGUGAAAUCUCGGAGCUUAACUCCGAAACUGCAUUCGAUACUGCGGUGCUUGAGGACUGGAGAGGAGACUGGAAUUCAUGGUGUAGCAGUGAAAUGCGUAGAGAUCAUGAGGAAGACCAGUGGCGAAGGCGGGUCUCUGGACAGUUCCUGACACUGAGCACGAAGGUCAGGGGAGCAAACGGGG